rfam:Triticum aestivum genome assembly, contig: Triticum_aestivum_CS42_TGACv1_scaffold_592572_7BS
AUCUUUGCGCUUGGGGCAAUGACGCAGCUAGUGAGGUUAUACCGAGGCGCGUCAAUUGCUGGUUGAAAACUAUUUCCAAACCCCCUCUUUGGCCCUUAUGGGCCACUGAGAAUUUCUGGAAGGGCUCCCUCUCUUCGGAGAGGGGAAAGCC